GAUGAACGCUGGCGGCGUGCCUAAUACAUGCAAGUCGAGCGAACAGACGAGGAGCUUGCUCCUUUGACGUUAGCGGCGGACGGGUGAGUAACACGUGGGUAACCUACCUAUAAGACUGGGAUAACUUCGGGAAACCGGAGCUAAUACCGGAUAAUAUUUCGAACCGCAUGGUUCGAUAGUGAAAGAUGGCUUUGCUAUCACUUAUAGAUGGACCUGCGCCGUAUUAGCUAGUUGGUAAGGUAACGGCUUACCAAGGCAACGAUACGUAGCCGACCUGAGAGGGUGAUCGGCCACACUGGAACUGAGACACGGUCCAGACUCCUACGGGAGGCAGCAGUAGGGAAUCUUCCGCAAUGGGCGAAAGCCUGACGGAGCAACGCCGCGUGAGUGAUGAAGAUCUUCGGAUCGUAAAACUCUGUUAUUAGGGAAGAAUAAACGUGUAAGUAACUGUGCACGUCUUGACGGUACCUAAUCAGAAAGCCACGGCUAACUACGUG
rnacentral:rRNA from 1 species